AUUGAACGCUGGCGGCAGGCCUAACACAUGCAAGUCGAACGAAUGGCGGCCGGGUGAGUAAUGACUGGGAAACUGCCUGAGGGAGGGGGAUAACUACUGGAAACGGUAGCUAAUACCGCAUACCAUCGGAUGGUCCACGAUGGGAUUAGCUAGUAGUUGGGGUAAAGGCUCACCUAGGCGACGAUCCCUAGCUGGUCUGAGAGGAUGACCAGCCACCCUGGAAAUGAGACACGGUCCAGACUCCUACGGGAGGCAGCAGUGGGGAAUAUUGCACAAUGGGCGCAAGCCUGAUGCAGCCAUGCCGCGUGUAUGAAGAAGGCCUUCGGGUUGUAAAGUACUUUCAGCGGGGAGGCGUUACCCGCAGAAGAAGCACCGGCUAACUCCGUGCCAGCAGCCGCGGUAAUAC
rnacentral:rRNA from 1 species